rnacentral:misc_RNA from 1 species
UUGUUCAUUCUCGCGCGUGCCGUGCGGCACACUACUGCAGUUCAGUCACUGUCUCGCUGCCCGCAGGCAUCAUACAAUAGUAAAAGUUGGCACAAAGUGUUAGACCGACCGGACCGUGACCGGUGGUGCUGCUCGCUAAUGAUCCUUCCGCAGGUUCACCUACGGAAA